UACGUAGGGACCGAGCGUUGUCCGGAUUCAUUGGGCGUAAAGAGCUCGUAGGCGGCUGUUCAAGUCGAACGUGAAAACUCGGAGCUCAACUCCGAGCCUGCGUUCGAUACUGGACGGCUAGAGUCUGGUAGGGGGAUCUGGAAUUCCUGGUGUAGCGGUGGAAUGCGCAGAUAUCAGGAGGAACACCGGUGGCGAGGGCGGGAUCCUGGGCCAAUAUUGACGCUGAGGAGCGAAAGCCAGGGGAGCAAACGGG
rnacentral:rRNA from 1 species